rnacentral:rRNA from 1 species
GAGUUUGAUCAUGGCUCAGAUUGAACGCUGGCGGUAGGCUUAACACAUGCAAGUCGUGCGAGAAAGUAUCUUCGGAUAUGAGUAGAGCGGCGGACGGGUGAGUAACGCGUAGGAAUCUACCUAGUAGAAGGGGAUAGCCCGGGGAAACCCGGAUUAAUACCGUAUACCUCCUUCGGGAGAAAGAAGGCCUCUCUUUGAAGCUUUCGCUACUAGAUGAGCCUGCGUAAGAUUAGCUUGUUGGUGAGGUAAAGGCUCACCAAGGCGACGAUCUUUAGCUGGUCUGAGAGGACGAUCAGCCACACUGGAACUGAGACACGGUCCAGACUCCUACGGGAGGCAGCAGUGGGGAAUUUUGGACAAUGGGGGCAACCCUGAUCCAGCCAUUCCGCGUGAGUGAAGAAGGCCUUCGGGUUGUAAAGCUCUUUCGCAAGAGAAGAAAUCUUACUAUCAAAUAAAUAGUAAGGAUGACGGUAUCUUGACAAGAAGCACCGGCUAACUAUGUGCCAGCAGCCGCGGUAAUACAUAGGGUGCGAGCGUUAAUCGGAAUUACUGGGCGUAAAGGGUGCGCAGGCGGUUUUGUAAGUCAGAUGUGAAAUCCCCGAGCUCAACUUGGGAACUGCGUUUGAAACUACAAGACUAGAGUGUGUCAGAGGGGGGUAGAAUUCCACGUGUAGCAGUGAAAUGCGUAGAUAUGUGGAGGAAUACCAAUGGCGAAAGCAGCCCCCUGGGAAACACUGACGCUCAUGCACGAAAGCGUGGGGAGCAAACAGGAUUAGAUACCCUGGUAGUCCACGCCCUAAACGAUGUCUACUAGUUGUUGGUGGAGUAAAAUCCAUGAGUAACGCAGCUAACGCGUGAAGUAGACCGCCUGGGGAGUACGGUCGCAAGAUUAAAACUCAAAGGAAUUGACGGGGGCCCGCACAAGCGGUGGAUUAUGUGGAUUAAUUCGAUGCAACGCGAAAAACCUUACCUGGCCUUGACAUGUACCGAAUUUAGCAGAGAUGCUUUAGUGCUCGAAAGAGAACGGUAACACAGGUGCUGCAUGGCUGUCGUCAGCUCGUGUCGUGAGAUGUUGGGUUAAGUCCCGCAACGAGCGCAACCCUUGCCAUUAAUUGCCAUCAUUUAGUUGGGCACUUUAAUGGGACUGCCGGUGACAAACCGGAGGAAGGUGGGGAUGACGUCAAGUCCUCAUGGCCCUUAUGGCCAGGGCUUCACACGUAAUACAAUGGUCGGUACAGAGGGAAGCCAACCCGCGAGGGGGAGCCAAUCUCAGAAAGCCGGUCGUAGUCCGGAUUGUUGUCUGCAACUCGACAGCAUGAAGUCGGAAUCGCUAGUAAUCGCGGAUCAGCAUGUCGCGGUGAAUACGUUCCCGGGCCUUGUACACACCGCCCGUCACACCAUGGGAGUGGAUUGCACCAGAAGUAGAUAGUCUAACCUUAGGGAGGGCGUUUACCACGGUGUGCUUCAUGACUGGGGUGAAGUCGUAACAAGGUAACC